UUCUCUUCUCUCUCUGUUCCUUAAACAUUGAAACAAAAUCUAUACCUUUGUUUCCUUGUUGAUUUUUGAGAAAAAACUUAUUAGGGUUUAGAUUAUUAGGGAUCAGACAUUUAAUUAUUUUUCUCAUUUCAAUUUCAGACUCCAAAUCUCAGCUAAGGCUUUGGUUAAACUGAUUCAGAUCGAGUAUUCAUAUCAUUCCGGUGUACUAGUGGAUCUAGCGGGUUCAGAUCUUAUGUGUAAGGGCAUACAGGUGGAUCAUGUUUUGGUCGCAGUUAGAGGGACGACUCUGUUCACGGGAGCUGCUGGGAUGAUUUAAUUAUUGUGUUGCUUUUCGUUGUUCUACUCUGACUUCUUAUAUCUAGCUUUUCUUCUUACACUGAUUAACAUCCUUAACUAAUUAUGUCUUAUAAUUUCAUGACUUUUAACAGUGUAAACAAGAUUAGCUUUUCCUGACUUAUUGCGAAGUUUGAAACUCUUUUUAGUCGAGUAUUUGCAAGUGUAAGUCAACUAGAUAUGCUUUAGUGAAAGAUGGACAUCUUGUCUAUACCAAAAUCCUGUGCUGAUAAACUACUUUGUUGUACUUGCUGCAAUAGAUGCUUUUCCGAUCUUUUUUUUCUUCCCUUAAUGCAUACUUGUUGUCCUAUCCCGUUUCCUGGUUCUCAUUGUUUUUUUUCCAUUUUCCACAUGCAUACCAAGUGGUAUUACAUUCUUCCUUGGAGGUGAUCCUUGUUGGUAGAUCCAGUUCAUGAGCUUGUUAAAUCAUUGACUGGUAAAGACCCAUAUGUUACUGUAAAUCUUGGUGAAGUUAUUGCUCUUGGUGCCCCAUUUCGGGUUAGUUAUGGCUCAUUCCUUGUGUUUGUUGUUAGGUUAGAUAUUGUUAUUAUUAGUAGUGAUGUUGUAUAUACGAAAGAGAUGAAGCCGUUUGCCUUCUUAUGAAGCUAAAGCACAAUAACUUGAGAUGAAAUAGUCAUGUCUUCUUACAACAAAGCAAUGUAUACUUCGAACUUAUCUUGUUUUUUGUGUCUUCGUUAGACAAGUUCAUUAAGAUCAAUUACUAAUGUAUUGUUUUUCUUGUGUUUACAUGAAAGUAUGCUCGACAAGCAGCUGGCCGGCUCUCAUGGUCAAUACUUUUGAAAGUGCUUCUGCCAGUACAGGUUCACCAAUGAUUCCAUGUUUAAUUUCAAUUUGAAACUGAAUUGUUUUUUUUUGGUAGUUUCUCUAUCAGAAUGUAUACUUUUCAGAUUUCUAUAGUGUUAUGUAAUUUUUUUCACAUUUGGAACUUUAAAGAUUGUAGUUUGUUGAACUUA